rnacentral:rRNA from 1 species
CUGCAGCCCGAGUGGUGAUCGAUUUUAUUGAGCCUAAAGCGUCCGUAGCCGGACUAGUAAACCCUUGGGUAAAUCGGCCAGCUUAACUGUCCGAAUUCCGAGGAGACUGGCAGACUUGGGACCGGGAGAGGUCAGAGGUACUCUUGGGGUAGGGGUAAAAUCCUGUAAUCCUGAGAGGACCACCAGUGGCGAAGGCGUCUGACUAGAACGGAUCCGACGGUGAGGGACGAAGCCCUGGGGCGCAAAACGGAUUAGAUACCCGAGUAGUCC